CUCCUACGGGACGCAGCAGUGGGGAAUCUUCCGCAAUGGGCGAAAGCCUGACGGAGCAAUGCCACGUGAGCGAAGAAGGCCUUCGGGUUGUAAAACUCUGUCCUUAUCGAAGAGAGGUGGGUAUGUGAAUAAUGUACUCAUAGGGCGGUAGAUAAGGAGGAAGCCCCGGCUAACUACGUGCCAGCAGCCGCGGUAAUGCGUAGGGGGCGAGCGUUGUCCGGAAUCACUGGGCGUAAAGGGCGCGUAGGCGGUUUAAUAAGUCAGUGGUGAGAACUGGGGGCUCAACCCUCAGCCUGCCACUGAUA
rnacentral:rRNA from 1 species